UACGUAGGGAGCGAGCGUUGUCCGGAUUCAUUGGGCGUAAAGAGCUCGUAGGCGGCUUGGCAAGUCGGGUGUGAAAACUCCAGGCUCAACCUGGAGACGCCACCCGAUACUGCCAUGGCUAGAGUCCGGUAGGGGACCACGGAAUUCCUGGUGUAGCGGUGAAAUGCGCAGAUAUCAGGAGGAACACCAAUGGCGAAGGCAGCUCACUGGGACGGUAUUGACGCUGAGACGCGAAAGCGUGGGGAGCGAACAGG
rnacentral:rRNA from 1 species